rnacentral:rRNA from 1 species
GAUAUUGCACAAUGGAGGAAACUCUGAUGCAGCGACGCCGCGUGAAUGAUGAAGGCCUUCGGGUCGUAAAGUUCUGAUGUGAGAGACGAAGAAAGUGACGGUAUCUCACCAGCAAGCACCGGCUAACUACGUGCCAGCAGCCGCGGUAAUACGUAGGGUGCAAGCGUUGUCCGGAAUCACUGGGCGUAAAGGGAGCGUAGGUGGUUAUACAAGUAUUUAGUAAAAGGCAUGGGCUUAACCGAUGUAAGCUAGAUAAACUGUAUAACUUGAGUGCAGUAGAGGUAAGCGGAAUUCCUAGUGUAGCGGUGAAAUGCGUAGAUAUUAGGAGGAACACCAGUGGCGAAGGCGGCUUACUGGGCUGUAACUGACACUGAGGCUCGAAAGCGUGGGGAGCAAACAGGAUUAGAUACCCUGGUAGUCCACGCCGUA